GAGGGGAGAUGGAGUUUGUUGGCUGUGUUGAGAAGAAGAAAGUCAGUGCUCUUCCCAGGGAGCUGGACUGGUCAUCAUCCUUGGCUGCCUAUUGGGCAGAACCUGCAGUGAAGUUCUUCCAGGGAAAGCUUCAAGAUGCCAGAGCAGCAGGCCUGAAGCACAGCAGCUGCUGUUACAGGAAAAUAUUGGUGAUCAUAUGUUUCGGCUCCCAUCCAGCCUAUAGCUCCCAUUUUAAGCAGCCAAGGCAAGAAAAUCUAGCUAGAUGUCAGCUUUGAAAGUGAUCGAUAUACUCAGCCAAAGGUGGUUGUUUCUCUGCGCGAUGGAAGCGCAGUAGCACCACUAGAUGGUAGCCUUGCUUACUUCAUAGGCACCACUUUCCCACUGCAGUCCGCCGCAGCAAGAGAGAGUAAGAGCUUCUCGAGACGGGAUCAUUGCGUGCUGUAACUAUCCCUCUACACGGACUAACCCGUAAGGAAAAAGCUACUACUAAAAGCAGAAAGCAGGGGAGAAAGGAUGAACUCCUCCUCGGAGCACACUGCGGGCACAGGCAGUCCUGGUGCAAGGCUGCAAACCCGUGCAGCAGUGGGGAAGGGCAGCUGCACAGGUUUACCUGCCCAUGGACGUUCCUAUGGACUGUCACUCCUUGCUGCAAAGUUGGAGACAUUUUGACCAAACGCUAUUCCACAAGAUGUUUGAGUCUUAAGUAAAAGAGUAAGUGCCCAAGAGUUGGAUUUUGAGUAUCCUUGUGAGUCCCUUCCAAAUAAUGAUAUUCUAUGAUUCUGUGAAAUAUUUGAUGAGACUUGCCAAGCCUAGGCAAGCACUGCAUCCACACAGAAAUGUUUCCAAGGAGUGUAUUGGGCAGCAGUCCAUUUAGGAUGUAUAUGAAAUUCCUUAUUUUGCUUCCCUCAACACCUUAUUUUUAUGGUACUGCUUACCACACUGCAAUCCAAAGUGCAUUCUAUGGAAUAGGUAACUAAAUAUUGAUCAUAACUCUAACCACAUAAUGAAAACCACAAUGCAGUGUUAUUACAUUUAUUUUUAUUAAAGGAACAUGAAUUUCUGAGUAUCUUGCCUGAGCAUUUCUGUCAGGGAAAUUUAUUAAUAGGGUAUUCACUAAUAACCUUGGUAAUUUGCUAGUUGUCUUGCAUCUCCAGAGUAGAUAUAGUGCAUAUUCCCGGGAGAGUUCUUCUCCAGUAUGCUGUCAAAGCAUAAAAGCUUUCCCUCCUGCUGGAUGAUGUGCUUUGCUGAAGAGGGAAGCAACCUGAUUUGCAAAUGCUGGAAUUGGAUGAAUCACCUUUGGAUGUCUCAGGAGGUCAUAGGUCCUUCUGAAACUGAUCAGGAUAACAUGAUUUUUUUUUACAGAGUAUUAUAACUAUUUAGAAACUUUUCUGGGCCAUCAUCAUAGUCUUGAAUCUAAAAAUAUCAAUUAAAAUGUGAGUUUUAGCUUAUAAAAGUAUUAGAAGAUUAAAUAAUGUCAAUUUUUAAGACAAAUGGAAAAAGUGGAUACCACUGCAAAAAAGAAAAAUACAUUUAAGAGUAAGUUAUUAAAUAUUAAAGUAUAAUUUCUAGGUGUUUUGCUCUGAAUUACUUUGCCUAACUGUUGUAUGUCUUUGCCUAAUUGUUGUUUCUUCUUGUUCAUCAGUGUAGCACUUAUAAUUACAAUUUUUUUUUCUCUUCUUUAGGCUGGUGGAUGUCAAUAUGAUCUUCUAAAAACAUAAACAUUUUUAAUUAAAUACUUAAUAUUGCUAUUAAUUUUAAUGAUCCUUUAAAUUGUUCUCAGUUCGUGAGUUGUCUUUUAUUACCAGAAGCAUAACUGUAAAGGCAGGGAACAAAACACAGAAGAAGGUUAUGGAAAGCAUAGGAAAAAUCAUCUCUUGCAGAUAAAUAGAUUUGGUGUUAUGAAAGGUGUAAUAAAUUUUAAAGCAGACUCGGGUACUUCAAUAGGACUACUAAAUGUGUUUACAUUUACAAGAACAUGUCAGAAAAUGUAUGAGAUGCCAAUUUCAUUAUUGUAAUAGACUUCUUGACCUCCUUAUAUAUCUUAGGUCACUCCAAUAUGACCCUAUUUUACUGCUGAUUGUUUUGCAUCUGUUGUUCUAGGAACCUCCUAAAAUUGUUAGGAGGUGUAGAAAUAAAAUGUCUCUUAUCUGCUUUCCACUGAA